CAACAAGACACUUUGAGGCUUACGUUGGAAGUUUUAAUCCGAUUAAAGGCAAUACAUUUCGCACUUUUCGCUAUGCCAAUAUAACACUAGUAUUUUAAGCACACACGUUAAACUGAGAUCGAUGUGAUACGCCCUCUUCAGCACCUUAAUCGACAAGGAGAUCUUCCAAGAGAUACUUUAUUAUAAGAAAUGUAACACGUCAAGGGAUAAACUCUAAAUCGUCUUGCGGUAAUGCUUUUAGUUAGUACCAACAGAAGGAACCUAAUCAUUCUUAACCUGUAUUAAUACAUCGUUUAUGUAUUUUGAUAGAUUCAGCAGACAUCAGUUUCAAGUACUACAACGGACUAUACUACACCACACUUAACUACGGAUGCAAGCACAACGAUUCAGCAGACAUCAGUUUCAAGUACUACAACGGACUAUACUACACCACACUUAACUACGGAUGCAAGCACAACGAUUCAGCAGACAUCAGUUUCAAGUACUACAACGGACUAUACUACACCACACUCAACUACAGUUGUCAAUCCUACAGCCACAACGGACAGUAGAAUUACAGACACAGAAGAAGUAACUGUAACAACAGAGCCGAUUGAAACGAAUAAUGAGAAAAACCAAGAUGUAAGUUCAUACACAAAAUAUUACUUUUUUUGUAGUUUGAGACCAAAAUUAAUUGAGAGCAUCAUGUAUUUAAACGUUACACCAGCACGUGGAUAAAACGAUCCUAAUAAUCAUCUUUACUGAUUGCAAUUAAAACAGAAAAUAGAUAAUGAUUUUCAUUGAAUAAAAUUUAUUGAAAGAUCAUUUACAGUAUCAGUUUUCAAUUUUAAUAGUAAAUAAAAUAUCGGACGUUUAUAAAAGUGUAUCAUUACAAUUGAAAAGGCACAAUUUCUUUAUUAACUCAGAUUAACACAGUUGUUGAGAUUUGAAAGAUGGUUUUAUGGUUUUGAGACAUGUCAAUAAUGAUACGGUUAUUUUAAACAAAUUUGACCAAUUUCUUUUUCACAAGGUUAAACAAGUUAUUUGGCAUAGUAAAUUGGGAGUUUUCUGUGCUAUGAGCUCAUUAGGGCUACUGGAUUAGACAUCUUGCAUAUCCUAAAAUUACAUAAAUCAUUAAUAUUACAGCGACUUUAUUACUAAAUAGGAGUUGGUGCAAAUAAUUAUACAAAACACUCGGAUAAUGUUUCCGCCAAGUCCCUGUGUUUUGUUCACUUUGUUUUGUUAAUAGCCUUAAUUUCCUUCGUUUAUAAAAAGUUAGUGUACUAAAAAAAAGUGGUCAAAAUAGCUACGGUGGCCUACCAAACACUGUAGUAAUGAUUAUGCGACUUACUUAUAUUUUUAUAAUGUUAUCCAGGUUCUAGAUCUUGUGUUUGUAUUGUGGGCAAUCCUAUUGAUAAAACGACUCACCAAGGUUGACUAACAACCCAGAUUUCUAUAAAUUAUAAGACGACCCAUCAAACAUUUCCCGCGACCUAAUUUAGAGUCAUCAAUAGUUUCCGGCUCGUAGCUGGUAGAGGCGCUU